AACGAACGCUGGCGGCAGGCCUAACACAUGCAAGUCGAACGAAGUCUUCGGACUUAGUGGCGCACGGGUGAGUAACACGUGGGAAUAUACCUUACGCUGGGGGAUAACAUCGGGAAACUGAUGCUAAUACCGCAUACGCCCUUCGGGGGAAAGAUUUAUCGGCGAAAGAUUAGCCCGCGUCCGAUUAGCUAGUUGGUGAGGUAAUGGCUCACCAAGGCUCCGAUCGGUAGCUGGUCUGAGAGGAUGACCAGCCACACUGGGACUGAGACACGGCCCAGAAUCCUACGGGAGGCAGCAGUGGGGAAUAUUGGACAAUGGGCGCAAGCCUGAUCCAGCCAUGCCGCGUGAGUGAUGAAGGCCUUAGGGUUGUAAAGCUCUUUCACCCACGACGAUGAUGACGGUAGUGGGAGAAGAAGCCCCGGCUAACUUCGUG
rnacentral:rRNA from 1 species